rnacentral:piRNA from 1 species
UACCACGAAUUCCUAGAGAAC